rnacentral:rRNA from 1 species
AUGGAAAGUAAUGGGGAGAUCGAGAGUAAGCAUGACUCACCACGGUAUAUCAGAGAUGCAGGUCCUGAAUUAGUUGGACUUGAGGGCGAGGAAUUUCUUCCACCUGAGUGCGAGGAGAUGUACCCCCAAAUUCGUACCACUACCAUAGACCUGCACGUGCGUAACAUCAUGGCAGCAAAUUACAGUUUUCUAAAAUAUUGGCAAUGUAGCAUCAUGGCUGCAAAUUACAUUGCGUACAAGUGGGGUCAGAACAAAAGCUACAGUCAAAAAUGGGGCCCAAAAUGGAAAUACAAUCCAAAAUAG